rnacentral:rRNA from 1 species
CCUACGGGAGGCAGCAGUGAGGAAUAUUGGACAAUGGGGGAAACCCUGAUCCAGCCAUGCCGCGUGUGUGAAGAAGGCCCUAGGGUUGUAAAGCACUUUCAGUGGGGAAGAAAAGCCUAAGGUUAAUACCUUUGGGUCUUGACGGUACCUACAGAAGAAGCACCGGCUAAUUCCGUGCCAGCAGCCGCGGUAAU